UUGGUGCUGUGUUUAAAAUAACAGGACAAGAAUGACUGUAAAGCAAUAAGUAUAUAUAAUAUGUGUGUUUUCAUUUUCAAAAGGAACAGUAGGGCAUAGAAAGAAGCAAGCAACAUUACAUUGGAUAUGCAAGGAAACUUGUUCGGAUAAGUAAGUAAGCAUUUAUUUGGAGACCGGAGAAUAACACAGAAGAAACAGAUCCACCAUCUGGUACAAGCGUUGUUUAUUCAAAACAAUGAAAAUAAUCCAAUACUUAUACAUGUAUUUCUAGUAAUGUUGAAUG